CUUAGGCCUUGUCCUGAAUUCGAAGCGAAUCUCGUUGCGAUACAGCAGCUCCACCUUGGUGUUGAGUCUGCAGCGAAUUUAUCGCCUAAACUUCGCAAACGUCCAGCGGCAUGGGAAAGCGCAAAAGCAGCGCCAUGGAAGCUACUGAAUCUGGAACGCAAAAUGCUAACAUGGAUCAGUCACUUCCAGCUAACGACAGUGACUUCUCACCACUAUCUAGCAGCACUCCAAAGAAAAUGACUGUAAAAGAUAGAGGCCACACAGGAAACAAAAUUCGAUCAUUUUCCGCUUCCGUUGUUUCUGAAGAUGAUCCCGAAGCUACAAAACGUGCCAUUCAUCAUCGUUUCGGAAAACUCAGCCAAGACGACACCAAUGUAAGCGAAUCCAACAAGAUCAUAAAAUGCGGGAAGUGUCAUGCGGCUCUUAUUCCGGACAACAAAGAUAAACCGUGGUUGCGCUGCACAGUCUGCCAACAUGCGUUCCAUCAUAUGUGCGCAUCGUAUGUGUCACCUCGUGU